UGGCGAACGGGUGAGUAACACGUGGGCAACCUGCCCAAAANAGGGGGAUAACACUUGGAAACAGGUGCUAAUACCGCAUAACCAUAGUUACCGCAUGGUAACUAUGUAAAAGGUGGCUAUACUACCGCUUUUGGAUGGGCCCGCGGCGCAUUAGCUAGUUGGUAGGGUAAAGGCUUACCAAGGCAAUGAUGCGUAGCCGAAUUGAGAGGUUGAUCGGCCACAUUGGGACUGAGACACGGCCCAAACUCCUACGGAAGGCAGCAG
rnacentral:rRNA from 1 species